AAAAUCAUUUAGACACUUGUCGAUUUGUUUCAGUUGAAAUGAAGUCAAUGAUUUUUCUCGCUUGUGCUUUGUGUGUGGUCGUUUUUCCACAUGCAUUAGCGAAAAACUAUUACAUGGCAACACAAAGUGUGAAUUGGUUUGGUGCAGUGGAAUAUUGCACCUCAAUAGGUAUGCGAUUGGCGACUGUUUCAUCGCAGCUUGAGCAAAAUUCUUUAGAAGUUGUGUUAGCUAAUAGCGGAGGGGCGCCAGGUCAUGUCUGGAUUGGCGCU